UGGAGGGUCUCUUCCUGCUCUCAACUACUCACACCUGCAUCUCGUUGGUCAUCACCAUCUGAGGAGUAUAUGAGCAGCAAACUGUCACCAUCUCCUUGCCAGAGUGUUUGCCAGUAUUGGGAUAUCUACAGAUCCGCUGGGAAAGUCCAGUCCUUCAAGCCCUGGAAGGAACCUCUCGUUACUCUGAGAAAAACUCUGUUCGCCAUAUCUGAAAGCCUCCAACUGCAGGAGAACUUGUGACAGUCUGCCCCGCUGCUCCUCAGGACCACCAUAGUCUGCCUGUCCGCCCUUCAACAAACAUCACCGACAGUUCAAGCCUUCAUAAACAGCAACUCUGGGUCCACCCCAAACCACAACAGUGAGUCCUAGUCAAGCCUUUAUUCUGACAUUGGCCAGUUUUCUCUCCGACCUUGAACUCAUCACUUUGGUCCCUUCCUAGAGCUUCCGGUUCACCUGAUCUCUUGAACCUCCCCAAGCUGGAAAACAGUUUCAGUGUCUUUGUUAAACUGUUUUUUUCUAAUGAACUGUUAAACCUUU